rnacentral:lncRNA from 1 species
GGUAUCGUCUCCUGGUGCUGAGCGGCUACUAAAAGUACCAGAUGACUUAUCCCGCUUCAAGGACAUGCCUAUGAGAGUUAGCUAUAUAGAAGAACUGAAUUCUAGAAACCUCGAAAAGGAUGGAGUUUUCUUCUUAGAAUCAGUUGAUGCAGAAUUAGGAAGUUGUGUAUGGAAGUUGGCAGAUGUUAAGGAGAAUAGAGAUCUAGCGGCCAAAGGAAGGCCUCUAAGCCGUAAACAGAAAGAUUGGAGGUUAAAACUGCCUUAUGCAAUGGUUAAGAGGGUAACUUUGUACCUUGAUUAUUGAAUUCUGUCUAAUUGUUGUAGGACUCUAGAUAUUGAUGUAUAUGCUGUUGGUUAUGAAUUCUAGAAACCUCGAAAAGGACGGAGUAUUCUUCUUAGAAUCAGUUGAUGCAGAAUUAGGAAGCUGUGUGUGGAAGUUGGCAGAAGUGAAGGAGAAUAGAGAUCCAGCGGCCAAAGGAAGGCCGCUAAGCCGUAAACAGAAAGAUUGGA